rnacentral:tRNA from 1 species
GGCCCCGUAGCUCAACAGGAUAGAGCGCGAGAUUUCUAAUCUUGAGGUUGCAGGUUCAAGUCCUGCCGGGGUCACCA